UACGGGGGGGGCAAGCGUUGUUCGGAAUUACUGGGCGUAAAGGGCGCGUAGGCGGCCAACUAAGUCGGAUGUGAAAUCCCCAGGCUCAACUUGGGAACUGCAUCCGAUACUGGUCGGCUUGAAUCCGGGAGAGGGAUGCAGAAUUCCAGGUGUAGCGGUGAAAUGCGUAGAUAUCUGGAGGAAUACCGGUGGCGAAGGCGGCAUCCUGGACCGGCAUUGACGCUGAGGAGCGAAAGCCAGGGGAGCAAACGGG
rnacentral:rRNA from 1 species